rnacentral:rRNA from 1 species
GACGAACGCUGGCGGCGUGCCUAAUACAUGCAAGUAGAACGCACAGUUUAUACCGUAGCUUGCUACACCAUAAACUGUGAGUUGCGAACGGGUGAGUAACGCGUAGGUAACCUGCCUGGUAGCGGGGGAUAACUAUUGGAAACGAUAGCUAAUACCGCAUAAUAUUGAUUAUUGCAUGAUAAUUGAUUGAAAGAUGCUAUUGCAUCACUACCAGAUGGACCUGCGUUGUAUUAGCUAGUAGGUGAGGUAACGGCUCACCUAGGCGACGAUACAUAGCCGACCUGAGAGGGUGAUCGGCCACACUGGGACUGAGACACGGCCCAGACUCCUACGGGAGGCAGCAGGAGGGAAUCUUCGGCAAUGGACGAAAGUCUGACCGAGCAACGCCGCGUGAGUGAAGAAGGUUUUCGGAUCGUAAAGCUCUGUUGUAAGAGAAGAACGGGUGUGAGAGUGGAAAGUUCACACUGUGACGGUAUCUUACCAGAAAGGGACGGCUAACUACGUG